rnacentral:tRNA from 1 species
UGGGGCGUAGCCAAGUGGUAAGGCAGCGGGUUUUGGUCCCGUGUACCGGAGGUUCGAAUCCUCCCGCCCCAGCCA